CAGAGGUGUUGCUUUUCAGACGUCAUUUAUUUGUGUAACUGCAGGACAGAAAGGAGUUAAAAAAAUAUUAUUCACGUUAAGGUAAGACAGAGUUUUGGUUGUAUUGUCCCCUACAAUUUGGAAAAAAAAUUUCAAGCGGGAAAAACUCUCUGUUGGAGAUGUGGAGAUGAAGAUACUUUUAUUCGCUGUAUCUCUUUUGUUGAUGGUCGUUCUUACUUAUGGUAUUGCGCAGGAGUAAAUGUAAACAUUGGACUUAUUUAUGCAGAAAGCCAACUUCAUCCAAACCAAAUAAAUGAUUCAAAUUUAUGAAAGACCAUUGGCGAAAGACAUGUGCUUAUUGCAAUCCUAGAAAAAAACUGAAUUGUGGCGUGAAUAAGAAAGGCUUGCUUGGAUCAAUCAUAGAUGGUACUAGAGCUUCUCCGAACACGUGGCUUUGGCAAGCAGGAAUAUAUUGGUGGGGUUCGUUUGUGUGUGGUGGUGCGUGAUUACUCCCAACCAUAUUUUAACUGCAGCACAUUGCGUCAGACAUAGAGACAGCGACAAAAUGGUUGUUCGUCUUGGUGAUUAUACAAGGUAAAUAGCUGAAGUUUUUUCUAAACGACCAAUAUAUUCACGUCUUAAAUACUAUUCUCUGGCGUUUAUAUGAAACUGGAUUAUUCCUCAUAUUUUUUACUUCCGUGAUAGAAACGUGUGCGACUGAAUUUAGGAGCAUUUGUAUCCAGUUAAGGUGUCUAUAUAAAGAAAAUAGCAUAUUUUGUACACCACUUUUUAAAGACAUCAAGGAAGGUUCAGAACAGGACAUUGGAGUUGAAAAUAUCAUGAACAAUACAAUGGAGGUACACUGGACAAUGACAUUGCUAUAAUAAAAAUGAAGAAACCAUUCACCUUAAAUAAUUAUGUUGGAAUUGCAUGUUUACCUGAUGAGAAAGAAACACCUGGAAAUCAGUGCUAUAUAACAGGUUGGGGAAGAACGGUUGCUAACGGUGACCAGGCGAACAUUUUACAAGAAGCUGAAAUGCCUUUUACUUUCAAAUGCGGAAUGUGGAAAGAAGAAUACCGAUUCUAAUGGAAUUUCAAGAGUUACAAAAAAUAUACUGUGCGCUGGAUUUAAGGAAAAUAGUAAAAUAUCAGGUUGUCAGGGAGAUUCAGGCGGUCCUUUUGUUUGCAAGAAUAGUAAAAACAAAUGGGUACUUCAUGGAAUUGUGAGCUGGGGAUCGGCACGCUGUGACGCUAAGCAUCGAUACACUGUUUCGCGAAAGUGUGAAGAUAUUUACAUUGGAUAAAAAUAAUAUGUAAACGUGUGUCUAAAUGUAUUUUGUUGUAUCCCAAUAGGAUCUUUACUUUUCCCACUUUUUUCAAUCAGAAUUUAGUAAUAACUAAUCAAAAACCUAUAGGAAAUGAAGCGCUCCUAGAAGAUCGCAUUUAAUGCAAAAUUUCUGUGUGGUUUGAACCUGCAUAUAUUGCUUCUGGACAAGUAGUUUCUCAAAGAUUUUGUCAUAUAUGGACUACUAGAUGUCAAAAAGAAAAAUAAUUGAUGUCAUCAUGUGCAUGUUUUUCCUUUUAUUCGUCGUCCCAAUUUAAUUAAAAAUGAGGUAAUGAGCAUUUGAACUUUACUUUUGAACAAACCUUGUCAAAAAUAGGUGCCAGAAUAUUUUCAUAUGCCAAUUAUAUUUAUCAUUUCUUUUUGUUUAGUGUGCUAGUUGUUCAAAUCCGAUAUUUUAUUCUACGUUUACUUCA